rnacentral:rRNA from 1 species
GACGAACGCUGGCGGCGUGCUUAACACAUGCAAGUCGAACGCUGAAGCCCAGCUUGCUGGGUGGAUGAGUGGCGAACGGGUGAGUAACACGUGAGUAACCUGCCCCCUUCUUUGGGAUAACGCCCGGAAACGGGUGCUAAUACUGGAUAUUCACUUGCCUUCGCAUGGGGGUUGGUGGAAAGGGUUUUUUCUGGUGGGGGAUGGGCUCGCGGCCUAUCAGCUUGUUGGUGGGGUGAUGGCCUACCAAGGCUUUGACGGGUAGCCGGCCUGAGAGGGUGACCGGUCACAUUGGGACUGAGAUACGGCCCAGACUCCUACGGGAGGCAGCAGUGGGGAAUAUUGCACAAUGGGCGAAAGCCUGAUGCAGCGACGCCGCGUGAGGGAUGGAGGCCUUCGGGUUGUAAACCUCUUUCGCUCAUGGUCAAGCCGCAACAAUGGUUGUGGUGAGGGUAGUGGGUAAAGAAGCGCCGGCUAACUACGUGCCAGCAGCCGCGGUAAUACGUAGGGCGCGAGCGUUGUCCGGAAUUAUUGGGCGUAAAGGGCUUGUAGGCGGUUGGUCGCGUCUGCCGUGAAAUCCUCUGGCUUAACUGGGGGCGUGCGGUGGGUACGGGCUGACUUGAGUGCGGUAGGGGAGACUGGAACUCCUGGUGUAGCGGUGGAAUGCGCAGAUAUCAGGAAGAACACCGGUGGCGAAGGCGGGUCUCUGGGCCGUUACUGACGCUGAGGAGCGAAAGCGUGGGGAGCGAACAGG